rnacentral:rRNA from 1 species
CUUGAAAUACCACCCUGUCGUGCUUGACGUUCUAACCUGGGCCCAUUAUCUGGGUCGGGGACCGUGUAUGGUGGGUAGUUUGACUGGGGCGGUCUCCUCCUAAAGAGUAACGGAGGAGCUCGAAGGUACGCUCAGCGCGGUCGGACAUCGCGCACUGUGUGCAAAGGCAUAAGCGUGCUUGACUGCAAGAUCGACGGAUCAAGCAGGUAGGAAACUAGGACUUAGUGAUCCGGUGGUUCUGUAUGGAAGGGCCAUCGCUCAACGGAUAAAAGGUACUCCGGGGAUAACAGGCUGAUACCGCCCAAGAGUUCAUAUCGACGGCGGUGUUUGGCACCUCGAUGUCGGCUCAUCACAUCCUGGGGCUGUAGUCGGUCCCAAGGGUAUGGCUGUUCGCCAUUUAAAGUGGUACGCGAGCUGGGUUCAGAACGUCGUGAGACAGUUCGGUCCCUAUCUGCCAUGGGCGUUGGAGAUUUGAGAGGGGCUGCUCCUAGUACGAGAGGACCGGAGUGGACGAACCUCUGGUGUUCCGGUUGUCACGCCAGUGGCAUUGCCGGGUAGCUAUGUUCGGAAGCGAUAACCGCUGAAAGCAUCUAAGCGGGAAGCGCGCCUCAAGAUGAGAUCUCCCGGGGCACAAGCCCCCUGAAGGAACCAUGUAGACUACGUGGUUGAUAGGUCAGGUGUGUAAGUACAGCAAUGUAUUGAGCUAACUGAUACUAAUGAUCCGUGCGGCUUGACCAUAUAACCUCA